AAUGAACGUUGGCGGCGUGGAUUAGGCAUGCAAGUCGUACGAGAAUCGUAGCAAUACGAGGAAAGUGGCGGAAGGGAGAGGAUUACGUGGAAAUCUACCCUCAGAACUGGGAUAGCGGCGGGAAACUGCCGGUAAUACCAGAUAAUGUCUGUGGACCAAAGGUGUGAUUCCGUCUGGGGAUGAGCCCACGUCCUAUUAGCUAGUUGGCAGGGUAAUGGCCUACCAAGGCAAUGAUGGGUAGCGGGUGUGAGAGCAUGACCCGCCUCACUGGGACUGAGAACUGCCCAGACACCUACGGGUGGCUGCAGUCGAGAAUCUUCGGCAAUGAGCGCAAGCUUGACCGAGCGACGCCGCGUGCGGGAUGAAGGCCUUCGGGUUGUAACCCGCUGUCGUAGGGGAGCAAGAGAUGAGGGUACUCCCUCUGAUUUGAGCGAUCCUAGGAGGAAGGACGGGCUAAGUUCGUGCCAGCCGCCGCGGUAAAAC
rnacentral:rRNA from 1 species